UACGGGGGGGGCAAGCGUUGUCCGGAUUUAUUGGGCGUAAAGAGCGUGUAGGCGGCCAGACAGGUCCGUUGUGAAAACUAGAGGCUUAACCUCUAGACGUCGAUGGAAACCGUCUGGCUAGAGUCCGGAAGAGGAGAAUGGAAUUCCUGGUGUAGCGGUGAAAUGCGCAGAUAUCAGGAAGAACACCCGUGGCUAAGGCGGUUCUCUAGUACGGUACUGACGCUGAGACGCGAAAGCGUGGGGAGCGAACAGG
rnacentral:rRNA from 1 species